GACACGUGGCGGUUGAAUUCAAUUAAAAAAAUUCUAUUUAAAUAUUCCAAAAAGAAUUUUAAGAAAAUAAAAAUGAACUCUUUUAAUUAACACCCCCACCAUCCGUACGUCUUCUUCUUCUUCUUCUUCGUGUUGAGACUGUUUCCCCUUUCCGUCGGCGCCGACACGCAAAUAAAUCAUCGCCCUACUCUUUCAUUCCCUUUCAUCGGCAGCACCUCCUACCAUUGCCAUCAUUUUCUUUCGAUUAAUAAAUAUUUAUCACAGUUACAAGAAAUAAUAACAAUUUUUUACCUGAAAAAUAAUUGAUUCAGUUUUCUUACAUCGGAAUAAAUGGAGUUUCACCGGAAUAUUUGAAACCUGAAAAAAGAAGAAUAAUUGGAGAGGGUGAGAGAGAAAGUUAGAGGGGGUGGG
rnacentral:lncRNA from 1 species